rnacentral:lncRNA from 1 species
UUGGGAUUCUCAUUUAACUUCCAGACAUCUGCCCUGACAAGUGGACUUUAAAAAUAACCUAAAUGUUUCCAAGAAUUAGUCAUAUAACUUGAGACGGCUCCAGCCAGUGAAGCUGUUUGCAUGGAAUCCAGAUCCCAAAUGACAGAGCUGUUGUGUCUGAACCCUUGGCACAAGGUCUCAUAUUCCCAACAAGGCUGGAUACCUGUGGAGAGUCCAGUGGUGGCUGUACCACCUGCUUGCCACAGCAAACAGCUUCCCUUUCACCUGCCCUGAACUUCAUAGGACAAGAAGCAUCCCUGGCUGUAGUGUGAGCACCAGGCACUCGUCAAAGGGGUUGAAGCAAAGCUUUCUGGAAGACUUUGUCCUGUUCUGUCCUGGCAUCAGUCAACCAUGAUGAAAACAUUCAGUGGCAGAGGUCAAAGGGCAGGAUCUGCCCAUGAAACGCUUAUUUUGGAUGUUGAUAGCUGAGGACGUGAAAGUGAAGUUUGAUUGCCAAAGAUUCCUGGCCCAGGGGAAACUCCUGCAGCCAGUAAAGGAGGAGGGAAUAAGGUGAGUGGGGAACCCAACCUUGCUUAAGGUGCAGCACAGCUGAGUUGGUUUGUGACUGCGGUGGCUCCUGCCUUCCUCUGGGAGCAGACGCAGAACUCCACAAAACCUCAGACAAAUCCAGGGGACAUGAGAGAUCUCCAAAGUGUUUGUUCUUGGGAGACAUCCAAGACCACACGGUUUGCUAAACCCUGGCUGAGCACCAUGCAUAACCCAAGCGUCUGGGGUGCACAUGUG